rnacentral:pre_miRNA from 1 species
AAAUAAUGUGACAUACCCGUUUGGGAUAUACUCUGAUGUGAAUUUGUUAUUCAAUUGUUUUUGGGAUAACGGGGUGUUACAAUU